rnacentral:lncRNA from 10 species
ACCACAACAGCCCAGUAUAACCCAUCAAAGCCAGGCUGAUGCUCAGGGCUUCAACAGAAUUGGGCAGAACAGCCACGAACCCCCUCCUAAAACUACGAUCUGGACCUCAGCAGACACCAUCAGGGUGGGUGGCCACGAACUGCAUCUGGACAGGGGUCUUCCCACGCCCCUCUCCCCCGGCUAUCCUGGGCUGAGAGCUUUUCCGCCUGCUCUGUCCCUGUUCCUGCCCAGCCGAACAGAUGAUGACAGAGAACACUCUCUCCACCAGGCCUGACCAAAGGUCUGGCUAGGCUGAUGGUUACGAAAGAGAGGGAGAAAGAGAAGAGACUUAGGGGACCCCUCCCCCGCAAGCAAUCCUCCACGGGGAAGGCUGGCCGUGGGAAGCUGUCCCUACCCAGUGCAGACUCGAGUCUGGCUUGAGAGCCCUGGCCCACCUCUGGACAGGGUCCUGAUCCAAGGCUGGCGCUUCAUCUCAGGGCAGGGGCAAGGUGGGGGGACCCUGCCUGUCUGCCUGGAAGACACCCACAUGGCUUCCUUCGAUUCGUCCUGCAGAUCUCCCUGGCAUCACUUUCUGAGACACCGUACUCAACCCCCUCCAACAGGGAAAGCCCCGCUUUAGGUUCAAGUUGGUUUGGAAUCCAACAGGCCUGA